AUGAACGCUGACAGAAUGCUUCACACAUGCAAGUCGAUGGGGAAGUGGUGCUUGCACCAUGGUAACCAUGGCGGACGGGUGAGUAACGCGUAAGGAACUUGCCUGCGGGACUGGGAUAACAGCAGGAAACUGCUGAUAAUACCGGAUAAGGUCAUUAAGCUGCAUAGCUUAGUGAUGAAAGGAGACGCCUGCGGAGAGCCUUGCGUCCUAUUAGCUAGUUGAGGGGUAACGGCCCACCAAGGCGAAGAUAGGUAGCCGGCCUGAGAGGGUGGACGGCCACAAGGGGACUGAGAUACGGCCCUUACUCCUACGGGAGGCAGCAGUGGGGAAUAUUGGACAAUGGGGGCAACCCUGAUCCAGCAAUUCUGUGUGCACGAAGACGGUUUUCGGAUUGUAAAGUGCUUUCAGCAGGGAAGAAGGAAGUGACGGUACCUGCAGAAGAAGCGACGGCUAAAUACGUG
rnacentral:rRNA from 1 species